rnacentral:rRNA from 1 species
AUUGAACGCUGGCGGCAUGCUUUACACAUGCAAGUCGAACGGUAACAGGCCGCAAGGUGCUGACGAGUGGCGAACGGGUGAGUAAUGCAUCGGAACGUGCCCAGUCGUGGGGGAUAACGCAGCGAAAGCUGUGCUAAUACCGCAUACGAGCUAUGGAUGAAAGCGGGGGACCGUAAGGCCUCGCGCGAUUGGAGCGGCCGAUGUCAGAUUAGGUAGUUGGUGGGGUAAAGGCUCACCAAGCCAACGAUCUGUAGCUGGUCUGAGAGGACGACCAGCCACACUGGGACUGAGACACGGCCCAGACUCCUACGGGAGGCAGCAGUGGGGAAUUUUGGACAAUGGGCGCAAGCCUGAUCCAGCAAUGCCGCGUGCAGGAAGAAGGCCUUCGGGUUGUAAACUGCUUUUGUACGGAACGAAACGGUCUGGGUUAAUACCCUGGGCUAAUGACGGUACCGUAAGAAUAAGCACCGGCUAACUACGUGCCAGCCGCCGCUGUAAGAC